AAAUUAUAAAGUAAUUUUAAAUGUUAAUCCAUAGGGGUACAGCCCUAUGGAAUAAGGAUACAACCUUAAUUAGAGAGUAUAUUAUUUAUAAAACCAUCGUUGGCUUAAAAGCAGCCACCAAUUAAGAUAGCGUUCAAGCUCAACAAUAAUUAUAUUACUUAAUACUAUUAUUCAAUAAUCAACUCCUAAUAUAAUCACUGGACUAUUCUACAUAAUAAGUAGAAGAAAUACUGUUAAUAUGAGUAACAAGAUACUUAUCUCCCAGCACAAGUUUAUAUCAGCCCUAAUACUUAACUGAUAGUUAACAACCAAAUAAAUUUAUAUACAAAUUAAAAUUUUAUAUAAAAAUUGUUAAUCCAACACCGGAGUGCACUUAAGGAAAGAUUAAAAGAAAUAAAAGGAACUCGGCAAACACAAACCCCGCCUGUUUACCAAAAACAUCACCUCUAGCAUAGCAAGUAUUAGAGGCACUGCCUGCCCAGUGACAUAAGUUAAACGGCCGCGGUAUCCUGACCGUGCAAAGGUAGCAUAAUCAUUUGUUCCUUAAUUAGGGACUAGUAUGAAUGGCCACACGAGGGUUUAACUGUCUCUUAUUUCUAAUCAGUGAAAUUGACCUUCCCGUGAAGAGGCGGGAAUAAUAAAAUAAGACGAGAAGACCCUAUGGAGCUUAAAUUAUAUAACCCAAUAAUAUAUAAUCACAUACCUAAUUAGGGAUUAAAAACUAUUUAUCUGGGAUAUAGAUUUCGGUUGGGGUGACCUCGGAGUAUAGAAUAACCUCCGAGCGAUUUAAGCCAAGAUUAACAGAUCGAAGUAAUAAAUCAAAUAUUGAUCCAAUCCAAUUGAUCAACGAAACAAGUUACCCUAGGGAUAACAGCGCAAUCCUAUUCAAGAGUCCCUAUCGACAAUAGGGUUUACGACCUCGAUGUUGGAUCAGGUACAUCCUAAUGGUGCAGCAGCUAUUAAUGGUUCGUUU
rnacentral:rRNA from 1 species